rnacentral:tRNA from 1 species
GGUCCCGUAGUGUAAGCGGUUCAGACUUGGGACUUGAAUCCCGAAAUCCAGGUUCGACUCCUGGCGGA